rnacentral:rRNA from 1 species
ACGGGUGAGUAACGCGUGGGUAACCUACCCUGUACACACGGAUAACAUACCGAAAGGUAUGCUAAUACGGGAUAAUAUAUUUGAGAGGCAUCUCUUAAAUAUCAAAGGUGAGCCAGUACAGGAUGGACCCGCGUCUGAUUAGCUAGUUGGUAAGGUAACGGCUUACCAAGGCGACGAUCAGUAGCCGACCUGAGAGGGUGAUCGGCCACAUUGGAACUGAGACACGGUCCAAACUCCUACGGGAGGCAGCAGUGGGGAAUAUUGCACAAUGGGCGAAAGCCUGAUGCAGCAACGCCGCGUGAGUGAUGAAGGCCUUCGGGUCGUAAAACUCUGUCCUCAAGGAAGAUAAUGACGGUACUUGAGGAGGAAGCCCCGGCUAACUACGUGCCAGCAGCCGCGGUAAUACGUAGGGGGCUAGCGUUAUCCGGAUUUACUGGGCGUAAAGGGUGCGUAGGCGGUCUUUCAAGUCAGGAGUGAAAGGCUACGGCUCAACCGUAGUAAGCUCUUGAAACUGGGAGACUUGAGUGCAGGAGAGGAGAGUGGAAUUCCUAGUGUAGCGGUGAAAUGCGUAGAUAUUAGGAGGAACACCAGUUGCGAAGGCGGCUCUCUGGACUGUAACUGACGCUGAGGCACGAAAGCGUGGGGAGCAAACAGGAUUAGAUACCCUGGUAGUCCACGCUGUAAACGAUGAGUACUAGGUGUCGGGGGUUACCCCCCUCGGUGCCGCAGCUAACG